AAUCAACGCUGGCGGCGUGCCUAACACAUGCAAGUCGAACGAGAAAGUGGAGCAAUCCAUGAGUAAAGUGGCGACCGGGUGAGUAACACGUGACUAACCUGCCCUACAGUGGGGAAUAACCUUCCGAAAGGAGGGCUAAUACCGCAUAACGUCUAAUGGCUGAGAUGCCGAUAGACCAAAGGAGCAAUUCGCUGGAAGGAGGGGGUCGCGGUUGAUUAGCUAGUUGGUGAGGAAUGGCUCACCAAGGCGAUGAUCAAUAGCCGGCCUGAGAGGGCGCACGGCCACACUGGAACUGAAACACGGUCCAGACUCCUACGGGAGGCAGCAGUGGGGAAUCUUGCGCAAUGGCCGCAAGGCUGACGCAGCGACGCCGCGUGUGGGAGGACG
rnacentral:rRNA from 1 species